rnacentral:rRNA from 1 species
AUAAUGGGUCAGCGACUUAUAUUCUGUAGCAAGGUUAACCGAAUAGGGGAGCCGAAGGGAAACCGAGUCUUAACUGGGCGUUAAGUUGCAGGGUAUAGACCCGAAACCCGGUGAUCUAGCCAUGGGCAGGUUGAAGGUUGGGUAACACUAACUGGAGGACCGAACCGACUAAUGUUGAAAAAUUAGCGGAUGACUUGUGGCUGGGGGUGAAAGGCCAAUCAAACCGGGAGAUAGCUGGUUCUCCCCGAAAGCUAUUUAGGUAGCGCCUCGUGAAUUCAUCUCCGGGGGUAGAGCACUGUUUCGGCAAGGGGGUCAUCCCGACUUACCAACCCGAUGCAAACUGCGAAUACCGGAGAAUGUUAUCACGGGAGACACACGGCGGGUGCUAACGUCCGUCGUGAAGAGGGAAACAACCCAGACCGCCAGCUAAGGUCCCAAAGUCAUGGUUAAGUGGGAAACGAUGUGGGAAGGCCCAGACAGCCAGGAUGUUGGCUUAGAAGCAGCCAUCAUUUAAAGAAAGCGUAAUAGCUCACUGGUCGAGUCGGCCUGCGCGGAAGAUGUAACGGGGCUAAACCAUGCACCGAAGCUGCGGCAGCGACGCUGAUGCGUUGUUGGGUAGGGGAGCGUUCUGUAAGCCUGUGAAGGUGUGCUGUGAGGCAU